CUACGGGACGCUGCAGUCGGGAAUAUUGGACAAUGGGGGAAACCCUGAUCCAGCCAUGCCGCGUGUGUGAAGAAGGCCCUAGGGUUGUAAAGCACUUUUAGUAGUGAGGAAGGCUCAGUAGUUAAUACCUACUGGGAUUGACGUUAGCUACAGAAAAAGCACCGGCUAAUUUCGUGCCAGCAGCCGCGGUAAUACGAAAGGUGCAAGCGUUAAUCGGAAUUACUGGGCGUAAAGCGCGCGUAGGCGGCUUGGUAAGUUGGAUGUGAAAGCCCCGGGCUCAACCUGGGAACUGCAUCCAAAACUGCCUAGCUAGAGUAUGGUAGAGGAUGGCGGAAUUUCCUGUGUAGCGGUGAAAUGCGUAGAUAUAGGAAGGAACAUCAGUGGCGAAGGCGGCCAUCUGGACCAAUACUGACGCUGAGGUGCGAAAGCGUGGGGAGCAAACAGGAUUAGAUACCCCCGUAGUC
rnacentral:rRNA from 1 species